CGUCCGCCCACUCUAGCGUCUGAUGUCAUUGCAAGCGUGAUGACGUUUACGGAAGUGUUGCAGCGAGAGAAGCAAAGUUUGGGCCGGGUCGUUCGGCGGGCCUGACGGGGCAGAAUGCUGAAUGAAGUGACAAAGUAUCCCCGGCACUUAUUUUCAUUGAAAAGAUAUUGCCAUUCCGUCGUUGUGGUGGCUGGGUCGAAAUCCUGGAACUCCAACGCCAUCCCCAUCAGGAGUGCAGAGAUCCUUAACCAGAAGAAGUGCAGUUGUUCCGGAUGCAUUCACUGUCACUUCCUUUGCGGCAAUGGUGGAUGUGCCGUAAAAUCUGGCAUUGGUAAUGAAGUGUGGAUUCUGAAAAGUCAAUAACUGAAGACAGCAUUAUAGACUGCUACAGCACAGUGCAGGUCGUUCGGGCUAACCACUCCCUCCUAAAUCACCCUCUACUUUUCUAAAAUCUAUGUGCCUAUCUAAAAAUCCCUUUCAUGUCCCCAAUGUAUCUGCCUUUACCACCACCCUGGCAGUCAGUGUGUUCCACGCACCACUCUCUGUGCUUAAAAACAAUCUUACACCUGAUGUCCCCCUGUACUUUUCUCCGGUCACCUUAAAAUGAUGCCCUCUCGUAUCAGCCAUUUCUGCACUGGGAGGAAAGGUCUCUGGCUGUCCUUCUUGCGAGCCUUCAAGUGUAACUGAAGUUGACUUCAGCUUGUGAUGAUGUGUUCCCCUUUUCGGCAUCAUACGUGAUUGUGCAGGAUGAUGGCAGUUCCAUUUAUGCAAGAUUGGGAUCUGCUGCAGACUUUGGGUGAUAAUGGUGAGCAUAUGUUAGACCUGCGGUGAGAGAUUUAUUGGUAGAAAAACCCCAACUGGAAGCAAACCACGACUGAAGACAAGGGAACAGCAACAAGUGAACCAGCCCGAGGAUUGUCAGCAUCAACGGGAGAGAACCCAUCUGACUCGGACAUUCCAGUGAUUCAGUCAGGAGAAAGUUUGGUUAAAAAUGACGAGGAAUUUGUUUCCGGGAAUCUCGAACACAACACACCAGUUUUGCUGUCUCUGUCCGGACAUUUAAUAAGUGGAGCAAGAGAUUCACUCGAUCAUCUGACCUGCUGGCAUGCCUGUCAUUUUACACAGGGGGGAGCCCAUUCAUUUGCUCAGACAGUAGGAAUGGAUCAGUCGGUCAUCUCCACUGAAGGUACAUCAGCAAAUUCACACUGGGACAAGGAUAUUCACCUGUUUUGUGUGUGAGAAGGGAUUCAGUCGGUCUUCCCACCUGUGGACACACCAGUCAGUUCACACUGGGCAGACGCUGGUUAUAUGCUGAAUUUUUGGGGAAGGAUUCACUCAGUUGUCUGACCUAAUGGCACACCAGCGAGUUCAAACUGGGGAGCGACCAUUCACCUGCUCAGUGUGUGGGAAGGGAUUCACUCUGUCAUCUCGCCUACUGACACACCUGUCAGUUCACAUUGGGGAGAGGCCAUUCACCUGCUCAGUGUGUGGGACGGGAUUCACUCGAUCAUCUCAUCAACAGAGACACCGAUGCAUUGGGAUCAAGAGCGCCGAUGAAGGGUCUUGGCCCAAAAUGUUGAUUCCCAUCCAUAGAUGCUGCCUGACAUGCUGAGCUCCUCCAGCAGUUUGUGUGUCGUUCUCUAGAUUUCUAGCAUCUGCAGGUCCUCUUGUUUCCCAGAUACUUAUAUGCUUCUUGAAAGAACAUGCCAAGAACAAGCUGAUAGUGGGAUUGUGUGGAUCUGUUGGUAAAAUAUUAAAUAAAAUCAUUAGAAAGACCUGGCAUAGGGUUGGAAGGUGUCGAAUCUGUGGGUAGAAUUAAGGAACAGCAAAUGUAAAAAAAAAAUCCCUGAUGGGAAUUGUAUAGAGACCCCCAAACAGUAGUAAGUAUGUGGUCCACAAAUUACAAUGGGAGAUAGAAAAUGUGUGCCAAAAGGGCAAUGUUACGAAACUCAUGGGGGAUUGUCAUGCAGGUGAUUAGGAAAAUUAGGACGGUGUUGGUCUCAAGAUGAGGAAUUCCUGGAAUGCCAACAAGAUGCUUUUUUAGAGCAGCUCGUGGUUGAGCCCACUUGGGGAUCAACUAUUCUGGAUUGGGUGUUGUAAUGAAGCAGAAUUAAUUAGGUCACUUAAAUUCAAAGAACCCUUAGGGGCAAGUGAUCUUUAUAUGAUCAAAUUCACCCUGACAUUAGAGAAGGAGAAGCUAAAGUCAGAUGAGGAAUAAAGAGAAUUAGAGAGGCAUAAGAGAUAAACUGGUCAAAAUUGAUUUGAAAAGAACAUGGGCAGGGAUAAAAACAGAGCAGCAAUGGCAGGAAUUUCUGGAAGCAAUUCAGAAGGCACAGGAUAUAUACAGUGCCAUGCAAAUGUUUGGGCACCCCUGGUCAAAAUUUCUGUUACUGUGAAUAGCUAAGUGAGUAAAAGAUGACCUGAUUUCCAAAAGGGACAAAGUUAAAUAUGGCACAUUUCUUUAAUAUUUUAAGCAGGAUUACAUUUUUAUUUCCAUUGUUUACAGUUUCAAAAUAGCAAGAAAGGAAAAGGGCCCGAAGCAAAAGUUUGGGCUACCUGCAUGGUCAGUGCUUAGUAACACCCCCUUGACAAGUAUCACAGCUUGUAAACGCUUUCUGUAGCCAGCUAAGAGUCUUUCAGUUCUUGUUUGGGUAAAUUUCUGGGUUCAGUCAUUAGCAGCAAAGCACUGACUGUGGAAAUUACAGAUCAGAAUAUUAUUAGAGUCACAGAGCCCAGCAGCACUGAAACAGGCCCUUCGGCCCUUCUAGUCAAUGCUGACCUGUUUAUGUUUUUACUGCCUAGUUCCAACUAUGUGCACCAUAGCCUCCAUACACCUCCCAUCCAUCUCAUCACCCAAAUUUCUCUUUAGUGUCUAAAUCGAACCCACAUCCACCACUUUCACUGGCAGCUCAUUCCACACUCCCACCAACCUCUGAGUGUAGAAUUCCCCUUCAGACUCCCCUCAAAGAAUUCACUUUCACCCUGAACUUAUGUCCAAUGUGGGGGUGAGAGGGAGGAUGGGGUGGAGAGGGAAGACAGUAAGGGGACAGUAAUGUUGCCUCCUUACAACAAAACUAACCCUCUCACUGUGUCAGAAUCAAUGAUUAAAUCCAGCCCCAAACACCGUACUUUCAUCGCUGCACAUUGUAACUUGAACCAUCUCACUGAGGGUCUGAUGGAGACACAACCCCUGCCCUCUGCACAUGUGAUCACAUCUCCCCUGCUUCUGACAUUUCAAAUACCCUCAGAAUGGUUUUCUGAUUCAGUCUGAAGGUUAUGGUACAUUCAGCUCAUCGUCAGACCUGACAAACCAUGUCUUCCCACAGCUGGUUCCACCUGUUGGUGUGUCCUCUUUCCUCCACCUCCAGGGAAGCUGCAUCUCCACACAAACUCCUCACUUGAGACGACUGUCUGUACCCGUGACACAGGAAAUCACAUCACUGUCACUCUCCUGAUACCAUCCGGGAAGCGGUACCGCAACAUAAAAGCCAGGACCAACAGGCUCCGGGACAGCUUCUUCCACCAGGCCGUCAGACUGAUGAACUCACGCUGAUUUGAGUGUACUCUAUAUUACGUUGUCUGUUUUAUUUAUUAUAAACUAUUAUAAAUUACUAUGAUUGCACGUUGCAUAAUUAGAUGGAGACGUAAUGUAAAGAUUUUUACACCUGAUGAAUGUAAGAAAUAAAUUCAAUUCAAUUCCUGAUUCCGUGUCUGAGCUGCUCGCCUCCGGGUAUCCUCCGUCAACAAGCUUCUUCCUCAGUCA